rnacentral:lncRNA from 1 species
UCCCCUAGACUCUCCUAGAUGUUAGGUCUCUGAGAUCAUAGUAAUGCAGUCAGCAAUGAAACCUACCUGGUUAAUUAGAGAAACACAGCUCCAUCAAUGUAAGAGAGAAGUCUGGGCUGCCGAGUGUCUGACGGGACAAAUCCUUCCAACGGCCGCAGCAGGUGCUUCUUCUAGCCCUGUGUUGCAAUGACCUGCAGCUCCUGGGGAUAACUCAGGCACGCUGCUGACGCCAUCAGGAGGCUCAACACCCUCACCCGCUUACGCUACGACCAGCAAAAGCAAACCCCGCAGCUGCCUGCCAGCCGGGAAGAAGGACUGUGUUUCCAUGUUGUGAGUCUCCUCAUUGCAGCCAGAUGAUGAAUUUGCUGCUGGCUUUGUGCGAAACCGAGAAAUACCCAGCGUCCAGCUGAGGGCCCGGGUGGCAACAAAAUCAAGCUGAUGAAUUAAAGAAAUAUGGCCUGGUCAGGAUGCCUGGAGGCCUCAGAGUUCUGAUCUUUCUUCUGAGUUACUACAUCUUCUGAACUGCUCCCAGGAUGGUGUUUGUGAUAAGUUGGUUUGCCCAGUAAAACUGUCGCCCAGUGGAGGCAAGCCCUA